rnacentral:rRNA from 1 species
UACGUAGGUGGCAAGCGAUACUCGGAAUCACUAGGCGUAAAGCGCAGGUAGGCGGUUUGAUAAGUCUGUUGUGAAAGCUCCCGGCUUAACUGGGAGAGGUCAACGGAAACUGUCAGGCUAGAGUGUGGUAGAGGUAGCUGGAAUUCCCGGUGUAGCGGUGAAAUGCGUAGAUAUCGGUAGGAACACCAGUGGCGAAGGCGGUCUCUUGGGGCAUUCUUGACGCUGAGGCGCGAAAGCUGGGGGAGCGAACGGG